rnacentral:lncRNA from 1 species
UCCAUAGUAUGUGUAUUUGUUUUGCAGAAGUUAGUAUUUUACAAACAUUGAUUACAAAUGAGAAUGGAAACUUGUAUAAACAAAUAAAGUGUACCCUGAUUACAAGUUAUAACCCUAGGGAUUUAGUCUGUUGGCUACGAAUUUAUGAAAAAUUGACGCAAUUUGUAAUAUAGAAAAAGCCAGGCAAGGACACUACAGAUUUGAAGUUGUUUGUAAUUAAUCUAUGGAUGAAACGAAAGCUUGAACAGGCUGUCCGAAUUGCCGAGGACGGCCCGACCAGAGACGAAGUUACGCCAUGCAGCGUCGUCACAUGGACGUUACCUCGUCGGGAUUCAGGCGUGGGCGUGGCGGUGGGUGCUGCGGCCUCUGGCGUCCGACAUCUCUAUCGGCCAUGGCUGUCGCCUGCGACCUGUGGGCGAAGCGUAUGGAAGG